UACGUAGGGGGCGAGCGUUGUCCGGAAUCACUGGGCGUAAAGGGCGCGUAGGCGGCCUGGUAAGUAGGGGGUGAAAUCCUGCGGCUUAACCGCAGGGCUGCCUUCUAAACUGUCAGGCUUGAGCACGGUAGAGGCAGGUGGAAUUCCCGGUGUAGCGGUGGAAUGCGUAGAGAUCGGGAAGAACAUCGGUGGCGAAGGCGGCCUGCUGGGCUGUUGCUGACGCUGAGGCGCGACAGCGUGGGGAGCAAACAGG
rnacentral:rRNA from 1 species